rnacentral:rRNA from 1 species
GGUGGCCACCACACCACCCUGAACACGUCCAAUCUUGUUGAUCUCAGAAGCUAAGCAGGGUCGGGCCUGGUUAGUACUCGGACAACAGAAUGGGUAGCCUCAGCUUUGUGAUCGGAGGCCAUCU